UAUCGCUGCCCUCCUUGGGCGUUUCCUCCCUAGACUUGGGCCGCUUGCGGCAACGUAGGCGGCCCUUCUUUCUAGCGCUG
rnacentral:sRNA from 1 species